UCACGGGUCCUGCAGGGUGUGUGCAUGGAUUCACGAUGGAGGUGACGGAAACCUUUUCAGUCAGUGGCAGAGCGUUAAGUGUGUGAGAUGUGUGGAGAGAUUUAUGGAAACCUUUGGACACCUUCCUGAUUGAAUUAUUCAUUUUAAAUUGAUCGGGUUUUUAUCAACAUCUGUAUUGGCUUGAUUUAGUUUCUGCUUGCUGUGUUCUAAAACAAAGUAAUUUAUUGGAUGUAGGGGACUUGGACUGAAAAAAGGAAGAAGAAAAAAGCUAUCACGUUUUUGGACAAUCCACACAAAGAAAUAAAAAACUUGGGGUCUGCAUUUAAUCUGUUCUCCUUUCUCUCCUUAGUCACUCUCCUGCUUCAGCUUGUCACAGGUGGGAUGACAUGCUGCAAAAGAAACUUGAUGAUGUGUAGUAGAUCCGGUCUAAGCCAGUUUGUGACAGUAAAUCACUUAAUUCUCUCGACCUGUGGCACUGAAAAUUUUAUCCCCACUUUACAGAUAGGAAAACUGAGACUCAAAAGGAUAAAGAAACUUGAACACAGUUAUAAUGGUUGAUUGGGUGUCAGGGUAUGGACUUCUCAUCCCCAGCAACAGUCCACAGCUCCCACGUGUUCCUGUGGUUUAGCAUACCCCAAUCCCUCUCAGUCUGUCAGCACCUUUCCACCUUCCCUGUGCCUCACUGACCCCCUGCAGCCUUCCAAUCCCCCAAGCCUCCCUCCAUGCUCAGCAGCAGCCCUAGCUCCCUCUUCAAUUUCCUGUCCACAGCCCCUCUCCAUCCCCCAUAACUUCCUGCCAGUCAGCCUUGAUUCCACCCACUCCCCCUAAUUCCCUGUCAGCAAGCACCCUUCAUAUCCCAUGCACCCUCAUUUCACUGUUACACGUGUUCCAUUAGCUGUUCUUACUGUUGUUUUCUAAGUUGUUAUUUACGUAGUGACCUCUUAAAUAAACAUACUGUUGGACCAAUUGGGACAGCAAGAAUAAUCCAAAUCUAAGCUAUCUCUGUUCUCUGUCUUUUUAUGCAGCACGAUCUCUACUUAAGUAGAACUGUUUGCUUCCCCAUGGAUGUAUUUUUGAAUCACUUGCCCGUGGUUCUGGCUGGGAAAGGAAAAUUUGUCUUCAUAGCAACUCCGUACCAGUGUUAGGGGAUAGAGGAUAAAUGUCAGCUCUCAAGCAGGUAGCUGCAGGCCUGGCUUCCAGACCUGGGGGGAGGGGAGGGCGUCCCUGCUCACUUUCCUUGCCUGCCAUUGCUUCUCCAUUGCAAUGUUGAGUAGUGAUCUGAAGUCAAGAAGAUGAAUCUGACCGUUUACCUUCGGCCUCUUUCCUUUCCUGUUUAUCUCUUAUGGACCAACAAAUGGCUAAUGCUGUCGGCAUUAGAGAAGGCAGAUGAUGGAGGAGCUGGAAAAUCCUAGUCUGAUGAACAAAGUGCUAAUAUUUUUAAAUGCUCUAAUGAAGUUCACGAAGUAGAUGAUAUCAAAAUGCAAUUGGCAACUUAAGAUGUACUAUUUAGCAUCGAGAAAAAUUAAUGUAAUAUCCUUGAAUCACUAAAUCAUAGUAAUUCCUUGCUUUAUCCAACAGAGACCUGUGAAUUACAACCAGAAGACUUUGGGGGAAGAGUGCUAGUUUGGGACAUCUUCUGUGUUUUUAGAGGUAGAUUUCUGUCAUUUAACAUUUGGCUUCAGAGUUGUCACAGUGUCCCCAGGAAGGCAGUGUUGAUCACCUUCCAGGCGACCUACAGGCUGACCUUUGUCCCCGCUGCUCUCCUGUUUGAGACUGCAGUUGCUGUGUGGAUCACCUCUUUCCACAUACAGCAUCGUAAUACCGAGGGCCACAACCGAAGUUUUUGAAAGCUCCAGGUGGAACCUUUUAAACUGCUCUGAGCCUGUAGGGCAUGGCUGGACCUGCUCACUUCAGAACUUUCAUCUGACUGACAGAGGCAGGAUCACUGGCUGCCUAGGGAGCCCUGGCUGUUAGAAACAUCUUCCUGUAUGCCCUUCAUGUGCCUGCCCAGAGGCCUGGCAUGGGGCACCUUGUGAAAGUCAUGAGAUUGAAGAACUAUUUCACCCUGGUUAAGCAUUGCUGACACUCAGAAAAGCCUCAGUACUAUCGAUGCUUCUCUAGAGACAAUGAUACAGUUGGGCCAUUUGGUGGGGUUGUUUCUUGGUGGACUUUGCAGUGGGGCCCGUGAGCCCUGAUAACUAGGAAAAUGUUACUGAUCAAUAGGUGCCCCCAGGAGCUGGACCCUGUCCAUCAACAUGGUCAUUUGCAUGUGAAAACAGUGCAUAUGUUGUUUUUCUUUACAUACCAAACAUGAUUUUAAAAUAUUUUCAAUAUUUGGAGCUGGGAGAUAGCUCAGUCGGUGCUUGCCUUGCAAGGAUGAGGACUUGAAUUUACUCCACCCCCCACCCCCAUACAAAGGCCAAAGAGUAGCAGUGUGUUCCUACAAUUCUAGCACUGGGGAAGUGGAGACCAGAGGAUUUCUAGCUUGGCUGGCUCUCCAGGGUCAGUGAGAGACACAGUCUUGAAUAAGAUG
rnacentral:lncRNA from 1 species